rnacentral:lncRNA from 1 species
CUAUUAUAAGAUAAGCUAAGUGCGAUAGGUAAAAUACAAAGUCCGACGAUAAAGAGUAAAUGCUGGUGAAGUAGAGAUUACAUUGGAGGCAACCCGUCUGCAGCACCGUCCGCGGUCUUCGAGUGCAUGCUUGGCGUUCUCCGGUGGUCGACAUCGCCCGUUGAUGAUCUCCAGUACCUUGCGUCGCUGGAGUGGUUUGGGCGUUCCGGGUUCGUCUGAGCAUGAACGCGUUCGGUAGUAGGAUACAUUGUGAUGUUCUGUUCUGUUCUGUCCGAUUUGUCGUAGUCUGAAAUAUAUGUGUCAUCUUGCUUGAUAGCCGUUGGAGAUAGCCUGCAAGGUGUCAUUUGAUUUGAGUUAUAUCAGAAAAAUAGUAUAGUGAAUAAUGUUUAGUCUGUGAUAUUUGAUACCCCCUCAAAACUAGCGUGGAGGGCUCGGUUUUGUAUUAACUGUUAUUUUAUGUCCGGUGGCUUGUGAGCAUUUAGUAGAUAUAAUUUUGGAAAUAAAUGUAAAAAUAAAAUUC